AGCCUGAUGCAGCAACGCCGCGUGAGGGAUGACGGCCUAAGGGUUGUAAACCUCUUUUAGUAGGGAAGAAGGGCUUCGGCUUGACGGUACCUGCAGAAAAAGCACCGGCUAACUACGUGCCAGCAGCCGCGGUAAUACGUAGGGUGCGAGCGUUGUCCGGAAUUAUUGGGCGUAAAGAGCUCGUAGGCGGUUUGUCACGUCUGCUGUGAAAUCCCGAGGCUCAACCUCGGGCCUGCAGUGGGUACGGGCAGACUGGAGUGCGGUAGGGGAGAAUGGAAUUCCUGGUGUAGCGGUGGAAUGCGCAGAUAUCAGGAGGAACACCGAUGGCGAAGGCAGUUCUCUGGGCCGUAACUGACGCUGAGGAGCGAAAGCGUGGGGAGCGAACAGGAUUAGAUACCCUGGUAGUCCACGCCGUAAACGUUGGGCGCUAGAUGUGGGGACCUUUCCACGGUUUCCGUGUCGUAGCUAACGCAUUAAGCGCCCCGCCUGGGGAGUACGGCCGCAAGGCUAAAACUCAAAGGAAUUGACGGGGGCCCGCACAAGCGGCGGAGCAUGCGGAUUAAUUCGAUGCAACGCGAAGAACCUUACCAAGGCUUGACAUAACCGAGAACGCCGCAGAAAUGUGGAACUCUUU
rnacentral:rRNA from 1 species